UACGUAGGGUGCAAGCGUUGUCCGGAAUUAUUGGGCGUAAAGAGCUCGUAGGCGGUUUGUUGCGUCGGUUGUGAAAACCUGAGGCUCAACCUCAGGCCUGCAGUCGAUACGAGCAGACUAGAGUGUUGCAGGGGAGACUGGAAUUCCUGGUGUAGCGGUGAAAUGCGCAGAUAUCAGGAGGAACACCGGUGGCGAAGGCGGGUCUCUGGGCCGAUAUUGACGCUGAGGAGCGAAAGCGUGGGGAGCGAACAGG
rnacentral:rRNA from 1 species